AUUGAACGCUGGCGGCAGGCUUAACACAUGCAAGUCGAGCGGGGGAAGGUAGCUUGCUACCGGACCUAGCGGCGGACGGGUGAGUAAUGCUUAGGAAUCUGCCUAUUAGUGGGGGACAACAUCUCGAAAGGGAUGCUAAUACCGCAUGCGUCCUACGGGAGAAAGCAGGGGAUCUUCGGACCUUGCGCUAAUAGAUGAGCCUAAGUCGGAUUAGCUAGUUGGUGGGGUAAAGGCCUACCAAGGCGACGAUCUGUAGCGGGUCUGAGAGGAUGAUCCGCCAAACUGGGACUGAGACACGGCCCAGACUCCUACGGGAGGCAGCAGUGGGGAAUAUUGGACAAUGGGGGGAACCCUGAUCCAGCCAUGCCGCGUGUGUGAAGAAGGCCUUAUGGUUGUAAAGCACUUUAAGCGAGGAGGAGGCUACUUUAGUUAAUACCUAGAGAUAGUGGACGUUACUCGCAGAAUAAGCACCGGCUAACUCUGUGCCAGCAGCCGCCGUAA
rnacentral:rRNA from 1 species